UACGUAGGAUGCGAGCGUUGUCCGGAAUUAUUGGGCGUAAAGGGCUCGUAGGCGGUUUGUCGCGUCGGGAGUGAAAUCAUCUGGCUUAACUGGGUGCUUGCUUUCGAUACGGGCAGACUAGAGGUAUGCAGGGGAGAACGGAAUUCCUGGUGUAGCGGUGAAAUGCGCAGAUAUCAGGAGGAACACCGGUGGCGAAGGCGACACGCUGGGCCGUACCUGACACUGAUGCGCGACAGCAUGGGGAGCAAACAAG
rnacentral:rRNA from 1 species